CUGAAGGCGCACAUAAAUACGAACCGGACGCGGAUGUUACUCCUUUCGGGCUCGACGACGAGAGGAGAAGGACGGAGUGCCGAGCUCCUCCAUUUUCAAUUGCGGCAUAACGAUGACUUUUCGGCGUUUUGUCGUCUCGAUGACCCGUGUUUCGUUACGAAGCACUGGUGAAAAAUGUUGUCUUCAAAACUGGGCAUUAAACCGGCUAAGAUGCACAUUAGGUCCUUUUAAAUGUUUGAUGUAAUGCCCGGAUUAUCCAACUACACCAGGAUGUGACAACACAUGAUGGGACAACCUUCCCUUGGUUUACUCUUUGCAAGAUAAGCAACCAGGCACAACAUGAGCAUCUGCUUCAUCCUGUAUCUGAUGCUUGGCAGCAGUAAUUGAUGGAAAACGUGAACAAUUACUUCAUGUCUUUGAUGACCGACGGACAAGAAUGUCCACUUCAUCAUAAUUAUAGUUGAGGAAAGAGGGCGUCGCGGUUUCCCAAUUAGAAAUGCCAAGUGUCCUAAGUAGUAAUGAGUUCACCUUUUUGCUGUUAACCAAUCAGAACAGACUGCUGAACUCAAAACACCAGUUUAAUGCAAACUGAUGGUCACCUUUGACUUUGAAGGAACACUCAUUUAAGCAUUGGACCUGUUUAAAGCUGCUAUUUGGACUGCUUUCCAGACGAAUAAAAAAAUUACAAAAUCUAUCCCUUUUA